ACUCCUACGGGAGGCAGCAGUAAGGAAUAUUGGUCAAUGGAGGCAACUCUGAACCAGCCAUGCCGCGUGCAGGAUGACUGCCCUAUGGGUUGUAAACUGCUUUUCUACAGGAAGAAACGCUUUGAUUUAUCAGAGUUGACGGUAUUGUAGGAAUAAGCACCGGCUAACUCCGUGCCAGCAGCCGCGGUAAUACGGAGGGUGCAAGCGUUAUCCGGAUUUAUUGGGUUUAAAGGGUGCGUAGGCGGGCAAAUAAGUCAGUGGUGAAAUGCUGUGGCUCAACCAUAUGCACUGCCAUAGAUAC
rnacentral:rRNA from 1 species